ensembl:lncRNA
AUGUGUGAAUACAUAUGCAUCCCUGUGUGCAACCCGAACUGCAACCCAGGGGGCCCGCCUGUGUACGACUUCGUGUACCUUCCUGCGGGCCAUCCCCUAUGCAACACCAUCUGCAAUCCAGGCUUCAACCCAAACAUCAAUCCUGGUUUCGACCCAGGGUGUGAUCCUGGCUUCCGAGUUAUAUGCGAGACCAUGCCUCCCGCUACGUGUGCCCCGAUGCCUCCGCCCAUGUACGGCUCUAUGCCGGUCCCAUCGUCCAACCCUGUGGGCCCCCCUAUGCCACACGUGGUGUUCGAGACAGGGCCCACUCCUGCACACCAGCCUGGAGGUGGAGGGGGGCCGAUGUCCUAUUCUGUCUCUGUCCCGGCAAAUAAUGCGGUGAGUGCCCUGCUGACCCAUUUCAUGGCUGGCCCCAGUCCCACUGCAGCAGCCCAGGCGGUCCCCACCCAUCUGCCAACCCACCCUGUGUGCUCUCCAGUUGCCAACACUGUCGGCAGUCCCAUGCCACCGCCUGCAGCCAUUUCAGUGCCAGCUGCCUCCCUCUCCCAUGUUGUCUGUGGCUCCGUGCCCUCUCCCACAGCCCAGCCUCCCUGUGGCUCCAUGGCCACCCUUCCGACCCAGCCCUUGAGUGCCCCAGUAGCCCAUGCUGUGUGCUCCCCAGCUCCCUGCCCUGAAGCUUCUCCGGUGCCCCGCUCUGCACGUAGCUCUACCCCUGCAGGGCUUCACCUUGCGGGCUCCCCAGCCCCCCGCCCUGUGGGACCCCCAGCAGCUCACUCGCUGUGCUCCCCAGCCCCCCGCCCCGUGGGACCCCCAGCAGCACACUCACUGUUCUCCCCUGCCUCCAUCUCGGUGGGAGCUGCAGGGGUCCGCUCUGCGCGCUCACCCACCCCUUGUCCCGAGGAUUCGUCAACCACCUGCUUUGCAUCUCCCCCAACUCCCCGGCCUCUGGCAGCUGCCACAGCCCGCUCCCUCUGCAACCCUUCCUCUCGCUCGGUCUCCCGGGCUGUCUGUACCCCAGGGUCUCGCUCCGUCUGUGGCCCUCAGUGGGGGCCAUCCUGCACUACCACCACCACCACGUCCCGCUCAGGCUCCCACUCCACGUGGACUCCAACCUCCCGCUCAGCAUGGAGCCUCACAGGGCGCUCGGGCUACAUCCCCUUCUCCCGCACCUCCUACAACACGCUCACAGGCCCUCCCUAUAGCUCCUUGUCCCGCUCCUACAACACUUUGUCCCGCUCAGCCUACACCACCCUGCCCCGCUCUACCUCUCCCUCUGCUUACGCUACCCUGCCUCGCUCUGGCUCGCGCCCCACCGGAAGCGCCCUGACCCGCUCUGGGGCCCGCACCCCCUGGAGUCCCAGCAGGGGUACUCUCUCCUACUUCAAACGCAAAUACCUGUAA